rnacentral:rRNA from 1 species
GCAAGUCGAACGGAAACGAUGGGAGCUUGCUCCCAGGCGUCGAGUGGCGGACGGGUGAGUAAUACAUAGGAAUCUACCCAGUAGCGGGGGACAACUUGGGGAAACUCAAGCUAAUACCGCAUACGCCCUAUGGGGGAAAGCAGGGGAUCUUCGGACCUCGCGCUAUUGGAUGAGCCUAAGUCGGAUUAGCUUGUUGGUGAGGUAAAGGCUCACCAAGGCGACGAUCCGUAGCUGGUCUGAGAGGACGAUC